ensembl:lncRNA
GUGAGAGGUAUGUUAAGGGGGAGAAGGGGAAGCGAUACGCCUCUCUGCCUGGCGGAGAUAAAGGGGGCCCUGGCUGCGCGCGCGUUGGAUGAGAUAGGUCCUCCUCUCCAACCGGGGGGCCCGUGCUGGCUCUCGUCCAGUCUUAUCAUAUGACGUACAAGCAACCGGGCCGUCUGCUUGCGGCUUGCGAAGGAGAAGUGCACGAGCAGCCUUGAAAUUGGGAUCAAAUCCAGGCCUCCCGUCGGAGGAGAAAGGACCAUUCUCCACUUCUCCAUCUAGCGGUGGAGAGGCUCAACGUGCGCAAUACCGAGCUGCAUCCUGCCAAAAUAUGAUGCACCUGCACUCAGCAUCCAGCAGGUGGUGGUGCUGCGCCUGCACUCAGCAUCCAGCAGGUGGUGGUGUUGCUCUAGACGUGUUCCCUCGUCCAUUCAAGUUUCUAUUUCUGCUAAUUCGUUGGAGAUGGCAGAUAUAGUCACAUUUUUAAAACAGGACUUUUAUAUUAUAUAUAUUAUCUAUAGAAGGAUGGUUGAAUACGACUUCCGUAAUAAUUUGUUUCAUAUGGUUGAUGAUGACGGUUUGUCUCUGCAUAUAUUAAAAAUGCACAUAUUACUCAGGUACAUGGUCCUCUAAGUUAAUGAUUACAUAAAGCCUGUGACCACCAGAAUGUAUCUGACAUUUAAAAUGUCUUGCUAAGUAUACAGUGUUUGAAUGAAAUAACAUUUUUAAGUGUCGUUUAUAGAAGUUCACAUCAAACAACUGAGCUAAUCCUCUUUGUUGGGCUCAGGUCAGCGGGUUUUGUCCGAUUUGUGUCAUCAGAUCUUCUGACAACAAAACAAAUCAUGCAGAAUAACAAACGCUGUUGCAACAGGAUGUAAAAAGUGGAGACCCAUCUCUCAGUGUCCGCGGCUCUUCAAGGAGAUAUGUUUUUUGAGCGCCUUUCAAGAUUUGUUUUUAGAGGCGCCCUAUGAAUAAGAAACGAUGGUUUGCAGGUGAAAACCCAUUUACGAGUCUACAUUAAAACAUGGACACAAUAUGAUUUAAAGGGAAAGUUAUUUCAGGCAUCCAGG